rnacentral:lncRNA from 1 species
GCCUUCUUGUCUCAUGGAAGGAAAAAAAUAUAUCUUCCUAGGUUUGAACCAAUGGGAUAGACGAGCAAUAGAAAGGGAGAAUGUGGCCCAUUACAGAGGUUUGGGUAGAAAACACACUUACAAGAAACAAAUGGGAACCAAGUGGUGGUGGCACAUGUCUUUAAGCCCAGCACUCAGGAGGCAGAGGCAGUCUGAACCCACAGUGGUAAAUUUGGAACUCCAUUCUGGCUACACCUGUGGCUGGCUAUUCCCAGCUGUGGGGACACCAUACCCUGUCCUGCCUUCCAGCUCAUCACAUCCCUGGGUCCUAAGUGGUGCCAUUACUAGAUCACUGAGCCUUUGGGGGAUCUGCCUCCUGGUCACUCUCCUGUCCUGGCACAGCCGAUUCUC